rnacentral:snoRNA from 1 species
GAGCGGUGAUGACCCCAACAUGCCAUCUGAGAGCCGUGGCUGAAAUCCAGAGCUGUUUCUGAGCUG